rnacentral:rRNA from 1 species
UACAGAGGGUGCAAACGUUGUUCGGAUUUACUGGGCGUAAAGCGCGUGUAGGCGGCUUUGCAAGUCGGAUGUGAAAUCCCACGGCUCAACCGUGGAAGUGCAUCCGAAACUGCAUCGCUCGAGUCUCGGAGAGGAAGGUGGAAUGCUUGGUGUAGAGGUGAAAUUCGUAGAUAUCAAGCAGAACACCUGCGGCGAAGGCGGCCUUCUGGACGAUGACUGACGCUGAGACGCGAAAGCGUGGGGAGCAAACAGG